UUUUUCCCUUCGGGGGACAAAGUGACAGGUGGUGCAUGGUUGUCGUCAGCUCGUGUCGUGAGAUGUUGGGUUAAGUCCCGCAACGAGCGCAACCCUUAAGCUUAGUUGCCAUCAUUAAGUUGGGCACUCUAAGUUGACUGCCGGUGACAAACCGGAGGAAGGUGGGGAUGACGUCAAAUCAUCAUGCCCCUUAUGAUUUGGGCUACACACGUGCUACAAUGGACAAUACAAAGGGCAGCUAAACCGCGAGGUCAAGCAAAUCCCAUAAAGUUGUUCUCAGUUCGGAUUGUAGUCUGCAACUCGACUACAUGAAGCUGGAAUCGCUAGUAAUCGUAGAUCAGCAUGCUACGGUGAAUACGUUCCCGGGUCUUGUACACACCGCCCGUC
rnacentral:rRNA from 1 species